rnacentral:rRNA from 1 species
CACACCGCCCGUCACACCAUGGGAGUUUGUUGCACCAGAAGCAGGUAGCUUAACCUUCGGAGGGCGCUUGCCACGGUGUGGCCGAUGACUGGGGUG